GUUAUAUUGUGCAGCAAACCAGAGCCAUCAGUGUCUUUUAAUAAACAAAUUAAAGAGGUUGUUCUUCUAAAGUACAAUCUAGCACCCUGCAUUUAUGACGAGUAGUGUUGUCAAAAGUAAUGAUAUUUCGAUACUGAAGUAUUUGAAACAAUACAAUAUCAUUCUGCAUUUCUGAUUUACCAUGUUCAUAAUAUACCGUUUAGUCAAUAAUAAUUAAUGAAAACAAUACAUAUUCAUUUGUAAAGACAUUUGCAAUAUCUCACUCAUAUUACACUCAGGUUUCCUCAUAUUCACUCAGGUUUCCUAUUUUUCUUCCUUUGUGUCAACAGCACCUACAUACACCCCAAGGCUCUUUUCAGAGCCACUCGCCUAGCAUCACACAGCAUUGUGAACUACCUACGGUCAAUCGGGGGUUCGAAUCCAGGAGCAGCUGUUCGGAAAAUGCUGCGUAAGGUGGCAACCAAUGAGGUCCUGGGUGCAUACAGCCUUCGGGGGAAGAAAUCAAAACUAGCCUUCCAAGACCUCAGGAUUUGUUCCAUUAUUAUAGGUAAGUUUAAAUCAAACUGAAAAUUACUUUAAAGGAUUAUAAUAAAGUAACUGUCUUGAAUAUUACAUUGUAGAAUAAAAUACGUUUUAUGCUUUCAGGGGUAGCGUUUCCCUAAACCUUCUUAACGCUGUACAUUCGAACCUUCGGGGGAAGAAAUCAAAACUAGCCUUCCAAGACCUCAGGAUUUGUUCCAUUAUUAUAGGUAAGUUUAAAUCAAACUGAAAAUUACUUUAAAGGAUUAUAAUAAAGUAACUGUCUUGAAUAUUACAUUGUAGAAUAAAAUACGUUUUAUGCUUUCAGGGGAGCGUUUCCCUAAACCUUCUUAACGCUUUACGUCAUUCUUAAGUGCACUAAAUCUUUAGAAAUCAAACAAACAAAUUAAUUAACUAAUUAAUUAAUCGCACAGCAGCAAAUUAAGCAGGGGUUUUUUUUGUUUGUUUGUUUGUUUUUUUGGUAUUUGGAGGGGUACAAAUGGACGCAAUUUGAUGAAUAUUUAACUUUGUAGUCUGCCGGCUAAAACCUAGACUGUAAAAAUGUCGUCACUGUACGGGUAAGUCAAUUGUGUUGUUAGCUAACAUAAUCGACCCCGGCCUUUGUAGCGCGCUAAGAGACAGCAUUAUAGGGAAACGCACCCCAGAAAUGUAUAUACAAUGCAAAGUAUGCAUGGUUUUAUUUCAUUCUACUUCUAGGAGCAACACAGAAGACUUUUAAAUCACUGAAGUCAGUUGAGGUGGAGGAUCUGAUUUCACUGGCCCUGAAAAUGGUAAUUACACUUUAUUAAAAUCUAUUUUGAGAUGACUAAUGCAGAACUGUCUCGAGAGUUGUAACUGGAAAUGCCGAUUAGACCAUCUCGUCGUACAAAUCCAAAAUAUUUAAUAAUCCUCGAGCAGGGCUGCGAUAUGCA
rnacentral:lncRNA from 1 species